GGGCAAUGUCUCACUGGGAGAGCAUCUGUUUUGUGUGCAGAAGGUCCCAGGUCCAAGCCCUGCCAUCUCCA